rnacentral:rRNA from 1 species
AGCGAACGUUAGCGGCGCGCCUAACACAUGCAAGUCGCACGAGAAAGGGAGCAAUCCCCGGUACAGUGGCGCACGGGUGAGUAACACGUAGAUGACCUUCCCUGGAGUGGUGGAUAACCUGCCGAAAGGCGGGCUAAUACAGCAUGGGACCACAUGGUUUUGACCGAGUGGUGAAAGCGGGCCUCUGUUCACAAGCUCGCGCUCUGGGAUGGGUCUGCGUCCCAUCAGCUAGUUGGUGAGGUAAUGGCUCACCAAGGCAUCGACGGGUAGCUGGUCUGAGAGGAUGACCAGCCACACUGGAACUGAGACACGGUCCAGACUCCUACGGGAGGCAGCAGUGGGGAAUCUUGCGCAAUGGGCGAAAGCCUGACGCAGCGACGCCGCGUGGGUGAUGAAGGCCUC